rnacentral:rRNA from 1 species
AAACUUUCAACAACGGAUCUCUUGGUUCUGGCAUCGAUGAAGAACGCAGCGAAAUGCGAUAAGUAAUGUGAAUUGCAGAAUUCAGUGAAUCAUCGAAUCUUUGAACGCACAUUGCGCCCGCCAGCAU